rnacentral:rRNA from 1 species
AGAGUUUGAUCCUGGCUCAGGAUAAACGCUAGCGGCAGGCCUAACACAUGCAAGUCGAGGGGCAUCGGAUGGAGUACUUCGGUACUCCUGCCGGCGACCGGCGGACGGGUGCGUAACGCGUAUGCAACCUGCCUUCAACAGGGGGAUAAUCCGAAGAAAUUUGGUCUAAUACCCCAUAAUAUUCCGACAGGCAUCUGUCGGAGUUGAAAGCUUCGGUGGUUGGAGAUGGGCAUGCGUUGUAUUAGCUGGAUGGUGAGGUAACGGCUCACCAUGGCGAUGAUACAUAGGGGGACUGAGAGGUUUUCCCCCCACACUGGUACUGAGACACGGACCAGACUCCUACGGGAGGCAGCAGUGAGGAAUAUUGGUCAAUGGACGGAAGUCUGAACCAGCCAUGCCGCGUGCAGGAAGACGGCUCUAUGAGUUGUAAACUGCUUUUGUACGAGGGUAAACUCACCUACGUGUAGGUGACUGAAAGUAUCGUACGAAUAAGGAUCGGCUAACUCCGUGCCAGCAGCCGCGGUAAUACGGAGGAUCCAAGCGUUAUCCGGAUUUAUUGGGUUUAAAGGGUGCGUAGGCGGUUUAGUAAGUCAGCGGUGAAAUUUUGGUGCUUAACACCAAACGUGCCGUUGAUACUGCUGGGCUAGAGAGUAGUUGCGGUAGGCGGAAUGUAUGGUGUAGCGGUGAAAUGCUUAGAGAUCAUACAGAACACCGAUUGCGAAGGCAGCUUACCAAACUAUAUCUGACGUUGAGGCACGAAAGCGUGGGGAGCAAACAGGAUUAGAUACCCUGGUAGUCCACGCAGUAAACGAUGAUAACUCGUUGUCGGCGAUACACAGUCGGUGACUAAGCGAAAGCGAUAAGUUAUCCACCUGGGGAGUACGUUCGCAAGAAUGAAACUCAAAGGAAUUGACGGGGGCCCGCACAAGCGGAGGAACAUGUG